rnacentral:rRNA from 1 species
GACGUAGGGCGCGAGCGUUGUCCGGAUUUAUUGGGCGUAAAGAGCUCGUAGGCGGCUUGUCGCGUCGGCUGUGAAAUCCCGUGGCUCAACUGCGGGUCUGCAGCCGAUACGGGCAGGCUAGAGUUCGGUAGGGGAGACUGGAAUUCCUGGUGUAGCGGUGAAAUGCGCAGAUAUCAGGAGGAACACCGGUGGCGAAGGCGGGUCUCUGGGCCGAUACUGACGUGGAGGUGCGAAAAGCGUGGGGGAGCAAAACAGG